rnacentral:lncRNA from 1 species
GACAAUGUUCUCUUUGUUUCUUUAAGUUUUGCCGAGACAUGGUUAUGCCUAAUUUAUUUAUAAAAGGGGAAGUGGAAUCAUUAAAGUAAUAAUAAUUAUUAAUAACAGUAAUGGUAGCCGAGUGGCACGCGGGGGCGUGUGCUCUGCGGGGCAGUCCCCACGGCCAGCGACGUCCAGGUCAUCAAUGGGAUUCUUUUUGCUCUUGUCUUGAAAGGGCCAAACCCCAGACAGAAAAAGCUCUUUAUUUUUUUUU